rnacentral:sRNA from 1 species
UUUAUAUAUUUUUAAGUACUGGAUGGGGAGGUGGAGUAGCAGCUCCAAGGUACUUUUCAGUGGUGGCCUUAAUCUGCUGAUGCAUGGAAGGUGUGUUCUUCCAGAUAGCCCUGGGAUCUCCUGAAUUUCCAGGUUGGGCUACUCAGGCAUGGAUUGACUCCUACAGUUCAGGCGGAUGGAGAUCCCACCAACCCACAGCUUAAUUCUUCAGAUGCUUUAUCUUCAUUUCUCAUGUAUCUUCAGUUGGCUUCUAAUGCUCUGUGUGCUCCGGGAUGGAGCAGGUGUGCAGAGGGUGAGAAUCCAGGUCUGGGACCAAGUCACUUGCUUCCUUACUUAGCAAGACUAUCGACUUGAGCAAACUUGGACCUGGGAUGAGGAUGUCUGUGGGCCUCUCGCUGCUGCUGCCCCUCUGGGGGAGGACCUUUCUCCUCCUGCUCUCUGUGGUUAUGGCUCAGUCCCACUGGCCCAGUGAACCCUCAGAGGCUGUCAGGGACUGGGAAAACCAGCUUGAGGCAUCCAUGCACUCAGUGCUCUCAGACCUCCACGAGGCUGUUCCCACAGUGGUUGGCAUUCCUGAU